rnacentral:misc_RNA from 1 species
UUAAGUUCAGCGGGUAUUCCUACCUGAUCCGAGGUCAACCUUGUGCCGCCGGAGCGGACUUGUGGGGGGUUUAGAGGCCAGAAAGCCCGUGGGCUCCCGAUGCGAGGCGAAUGCUACUACGCAAAGGAAGGGCCGCGACGGGUCCGCCACUGGUUUUGGGAGACUACGGAACCGUAGACCUCCAACGCCAAACCACGAGG